rnacentral:rRNA from 2 species
UACGGAGGGGGCUAGCGUUGUUCGGAAUUACUGGGCGUAAAGCGCGCGUAGGCGGCUUUGUAAGUUAGAGGUGAAAGCCUGGAGCUCAACUCCAGAACUGCCUUUAAGACUGCAUCGCUAGAAUCGUGGAGAGGUGAGUGGAAUUCCGAGUGUAGAGGUGAAAUUCGUAGAUAUUCGGAAGAACACCAGUGGCGAAGGCGACUCACUGGACACGUAUUGACGCUGAGGUGCGAAAGCGUGGGGAGCAAACAGG